AAAAUGUGGAGCCUGAUACGGUUUGGAUUUGUGGCCCUGCCCAAAUCUCAUGUCAAAUUAUAAUCCCCAAUGUUGGAAGAUGGGCCUGGCGGGAGGUGAUUGGAUCAUGGGGGCAAACUUCCCCCUUGCUGUUCUCGUGAUAGUGAGUGAGUUCUCGUGAGAUCUGGUUGUUUGAAAGUGUGCAGCACCUCCCCCUUCGCUCUCUUUUCCUCCCGCUCCAGUCACGUGGGACGUGUCUGCUUCCCCUCCGCCUUCCGCCAUGAUUCUCUGGAGGUCAGAAGUCCAAAAUCUGGGUGUCAGCAGAUCCACGCUCCCUUUGAAGACUGUAGGACAGACUCCUUCCUUGCUUCUUCUGGUAUCGGUGACUUGUUGGCCUGUGGUUGCUUCACUCCAAUCUCUGCCUCUGUCUUCUCAUGGCCGUCUCCCCUGUGUCUGUGUCUCAAAUCUGCCUCUACCUUUUUCUCAUAAGGACACCUGUCAGUGGAGCUAGAGUCCAUCCUCAAUCCAGGAUGAUCUCAAGAUCCUUCAUUACAUCUGCAAAGACCCAUUCUCGAAAUAUGGUCCCUUUCUCAUGUUCUGGGGGUUAGGACUUGGACAUCACUUUUGGGAGCCACGAUUCAACCC
rnacentral:lncRNA from 1 species